AUCUCUCUCUUUCUCAAAAGGAAAUGACCACAUAAAAUGGUCUGUGCUUGUUUGUGCCUGUCCUUCUUGAGAGGCUUUUCAGGUAUUUGAAGAGACUUGGGCCCCAAGCCCAGUAUCGCUGUGGCUUUUGCAGACUCAUACAGGUAACACCUUGCUACCUCGCUGGUCUUGGAAAAGAUUUGGGAGCUCAUGCCUGUAAUCCCAGCACUUUGGGAGGCUGACGCAGCCAGAUCAUGAGGUCAGGAGAUCAAGACCAUCCUGGCCAACAUGGUGAAACCCUGUCUCUAGAAUGAGCAAAAACUGGAAGCAUUCCCUUUGAAAACUGGCACAAGACAAGGAUGCCCUCUCUCACCACUCCUAUUCAACAUAGUAUUGGAAGUUCUGGCCAGGGCAAUCAGGCAAA
rnacentral:lncRNA from 1 species